GACGAACGCUGGCGGCGUGCUUAACACAUGCAAGUCGAACGAAGUGGCGAACGGGUGAGUAACGCGUAAUCAACCUGCCCUUCAGAGGGGGACAACAGUUGGAAACGACUGCUAAUACCGCAUACUGAAGGAGGGGAUUGCGUCUGAUUAGCUGGUUGGAGGGGUAACGGCCCACCAAGGCGGAGAUCAGUAGCCGGUCUGGGGGGGUGAACGGCCAACAUGGGAACUGGACCCCGCCCAGACUCCUACGGGAGGCAGCAGUGGGGAAUCAUCCGAAAUGGACGAAAGUCUGGCGGAGCAAAGCCGCGUGAGUGAUGACGGCCUUCGGGUUGUAAAGCUCUGUUAAUCGGGGCGCGGUACCGGAAUAGAAAGCCACGGCUAACUACGUGCCAGCAGCCGCGGUAAUAC
rnacentral:rRNA from 1 species